ACGCGCGGCCGUGGGUUCGGGGUUUAUUGAUUGAAUUCCGCCGGCGCGGGAGCCUCUGCAGAGAGAGAGCGCGAGAGAUGGACAUGGACAAACGGAUUCAUUUAGAGCUGCGGAACAGGACGCCCUCUGAUGUGAAAGAGCUCGUCCUGGACAACUGUCGGUCGAAUGAAGGCAAAAUCGAAGGCCUCACAGAUGAAUUUGAAGAACUGGAGUUCUUGAGUACAAUCAACGUAGGCCUCACCUCAGUCGCAAACUUACCAAAGUUAAACAAACUUAAGAAGCUUGAACUAAGCGAUAACAGAAUCUCAGGGGGCCUGGAAGUAUUGGCAGAAAAGUGUCCGAACCUCACGCAUCUAAAUUUAAGUGGCAACAAAAUUAAAGACCUCAGCACAAUAGAGCCACUGAAAAAGUUAGAAAACCUCAAGAGCUUAGACCUUUUCAAUUGCGAGGUGACCAACCUGAACGACUACCGAGAAAACGUGUUCAAGCUCCUUCCGCAGCUCACGUAUCUCGAUGGCUACGACCGGGACGACAAGGAGGCCCCCGACUCAGACGCCGAGGGCUACGUGGAGGGCCUGGAGGAUGACGAGGAGGAUGAAGAUGAGGAAGAGUAUGAUGAAGAUGCUCAGGUAGUGGAAGACGAGGAAGACGAGGAGGAGGAGGAGGAAGGUGAAGAGGAGGAUGUGAGUGGGGAGGAAGAGGAGCCUCCAGCAUGCGGAGGGUUUUUGGUUUUGUUUUGGGGUUAGGUUUGUUUUUUUGUUUUGUUUUUUGUAAUCUCAUUGACCAUCUGCAAAUUUCCAGCUUCCAGUAAAGGAGAGCUUACACACACACACACACACACACACACAGUCUUAGCAAACAGACUGAUUAAGGAACUAUUUGGUGACAUUAUAAAAGGAUAUUUCCCUUGACAAAAAGAAGUGUAUUGCCAGGUUCUUUUUAAACAACGGGCUGCCUGGUGCUUCAGGAGCAGUGUUCAUGCAGAGAUUCAACUAGCCUGGACCUACAGGAGCAGCACGAAGCCUGGUCCUGUGCUGAGGGUGAAUUCACACCCUUUGCUGAAUCUCAAGGAACUGGGAGUGGUCCUGGGGGAGCAUUGUAUUUUUCCUCCCCUCCAAGUGAUCCAAGUUUGCAAGACGGUGAAGUGGCUGGACUCACCCAGUCUAGAAUCUAGACUGGGAGUCUUCCCUUGAAGCCAAAACUAGAGUGAGAACAGAUGAAAGCACAGCCUACUUCACGUGCUGGAGAGUCGGCUGGGAAACUUGUUCCCCUCCGAGGGCACACUGCAGAGGAGGAUGAGGAAGGUUAUAACGACGGGGAAGUAGACGAUGAGGAAGAUGAAGAGGAACUUGGUGAAGAAGAAAGGGGUCAGAAGCGAAAACGAGAACCUGAAGAUGAGGGAGAAGAUGAUGACUAAGUGGAAUAACCUAUUUUGAAAAAUUCCUGUUGUGAUUUGACUGUUUUUACCCAUACCCCCCAAAUCCCGCCCCCCGAAACUUAUUUUUUUCUGAUUGUAACGUUGCUGUGGGAACGAGAGGGGAAAAGUGUACUGGGGGUUGUGGGGGGAGGGAGGGUGGGAGGGGGUGGAAUAAAAUACUAUUUUUACUGCCACUCUUUAUUUUUUUUUUUUCCCUACUUUUUCUUUGUGUCUGGUUUUGUCCCUGUAAAUGAGAUAGCUGCCUACACACGAGUGAGCGUUUGUUCCUUACCCUCAAAGAGGACGGUCCGGAGAUCUCUGACGUUUCCUGGUAUUUCGCGAGUCUCUUGAGUUGCUUGGGAGGCCAGGGCUGGCCUCCGUUUGGUUUCUCAAAGCCCAGGAGGGGCUGAGCGCCAGCCGCAUCUUACCUCUCGUUCUGGUUCCGUGAUUUCCGUCUUUCUUGGGCCUGCUAGAGGCAGCCAGCGCCCUGGUUUGUGAAUAGCAAGCGAAAGGCGUAUUUUGGCACUGGUCGGGGGACCUUCCCCGUCUCCUAUCCCCUUUCCCUCUUCACAGAUGGUGGUGGGCUUCGCUCUCCGAAGAAGACUCUGAUGUCACUCUUUCAAGGAGCCAGAGAGCUGAGAACAGCAGGCUUCUGAGUUAGGAGUAAGAUGGAUUUGGUAAUUCUAAUUAAAGGAGAAGAAGCAAACCCUCAAACUUCAACUUCUUUCAAAGAUUUAAAAAAAAACUGUCCUAUCUUGUUCUGUAAAAUAUUAGAACGCUUUGUUUUACAAAAUGACAAGAGAAUUCUUCUACGUGUCCUUCUGUGCUUAGACCAUUUUUACAAACCUAAGCACAGGAGACGCUGCUGCAUGUCGGCUGGGUUUUUUUUUUCAUACACCCGAGCACGGAAAAACUAACGCAAAAUUGUAUUUUCUUACCUAGUGGAAAUCUGAAAUGACUGCAAAUUCCUAGUGAAUGUACAGGUUUGCUUUCCUGUCCCUCUUCUGGAUUGCUUUUGAAGUGACGUGUGAUUCCCUAGCCCGUGUUUCAUCUGUAUAAAAGAACCAUCUGCACUGGUUUUUCUCCCCCUCAGAAGAGCCAAACUUUGAGUUUUAUGUCUGUUUGUCAUUGAUAAAUUUCAAUAAAUCUUUUUAUACAAUU